GUUGGCCAUGAUGCAAUGUAGCACCAGAUGUCCGGUCUAUGCUCUUGAAAUUUCCAGGCACCAAAACCCCAAUUCAGAGAUCUGUUCAUCUCUUGCCUCUGUAUUUGCAUCCUUCUUCAUCCGGAGUGGACCUGACUUCAAGCAGGACCUGACUUCUCCCAUUUAAUGUACGCCAGCAAGCUGUUGAGGCAUACUUGGAAGUGAAGAACUGCUCAGAUGAGAUGUCCUUAAAGAACAGACUAAUAAUGCAACAAAUGACGAAGGGUGGCGAGAAGAAGGGCCAUUCUGCCAUCACCGAGGUGGUGACCCAGGAAUACACCAUCAACAUUCACAAGCACAUCCAUGGUGCGAGCUUCAAGAAACAUGCCCCUCGGGCACUAAAAGAAAUCAGGAAAUUUGCCAUGAAGGAGAUGGGGGCUCCAGAUGUGUGCAUUGA